rnacentral:rRNA from 1 species
GGAGUUAGCCGGUGCUUCUUCUGUGAGUGAUGUCCUUCCUGCCGGCUAUUAACCCGCAGGCCUUCUUCCUCACUGAAAGUGCUUUACAACCCGAAGGCCUUCUUCACACACGCGGCAUGGCUGGAUCAGGGUUGCCCCCAUUGUCCAAUAUUCCCCACUGCUGCCUCCCGUAGGAGUCUGGGCCGUGUCUCAGUCCCAGUGUGGCUGAUCAUCCUCUCAGACCAGCUACGGAUCGUCGCCUUGGUGAGCCGUUACCUCACCAACCAGCUAAUCCGACAUAGGCUCAUCCGAUAGCGCGAGGCCCGAAGGUCCCCCGCUUUCCCCCGUAGGGCGUAUGCGGUAUUAGCCUGGGUUUCCCCAGGUUAUCCCCCACUACCGGGCAGAUUCCUAUGCAUUACUCACCCGUCCGCCGCUCGCCACCAGGGAGCAAGCUCCCCGUGCUGCCGCUCGACUUGCAUGUGUUAGGCCUCGCCGCCACGCGUUCAAUCUGAGCCGAGGAUACAAACUACUGA